ensembl:lncRNA novel transcript, antisense to CSMD1
GAGCUGAUGAGAUUCAUGUGCCAUCUCAGAAAGAAAACAUAAAAGCCUGGACAUUCUAUGGAAGGCAAGCCAAGAGAACGUGGAAUCUCCGUUUGCGGAACUUUCGUAGAAAUGCUCAGGCAUCCUGUUGGCGUUUGAAUGCAUGGUGCCUUCAAGAAGCUCACGGACACAGACCUGCAACUGCCCGUGGGGUUUCCUAAAGACACAACAGGAGCGACGUCUGCGUGUAAAAUGACAAGUACAGUAAACGUCCCGCAGCCCCAGGCUUCAUUGUCAUCUGCUGGAAGUGUCCUCCAUGGAUUUAAACCAAGAUAAAGAAACAAAACCAACAGGAAGAUGCCAUCAAAGGAAAGCAAGACAGAAAAUUGAGGAGCCUCAGAAAGACUUCACAAACAAGGCAUCAUUUAAACAACUAUUUUAGGCAAUAGAACGUAGAGCAAAGGGAAGACUUUGAAGAAGUCGAGGUGGAUAUUUCAAGAAUACUUUUCUCAUGUCAACAUAAACUCUCUUAAAUGUUUCACGUGUUCUCCUCAUCUGCAGUUUCACUUUCUGUGGUUUCAGUUACCUAAGGUCAACUGUGGUCCACUGAGGUCUGAAAACAUUAAAUGAAAAAUUUCAGAAAUAAAUAAUGUAUAAGUUUUAAAUUGCUAGCUGUUCUGACUAGCGCCAUCCCACUCCAUCCCAGCCAGGACAUGAAUCAUUCCUUUGUCCAGUGGAUUCACACUAUCUACAUUAGUCACUUAGUAGCCAUAUGGCUUUUCAGACUCAUGGUUGCAGUAGUGCAGCAUUUGUGUUCAAGUUGUCGUUAUUUGACUUUAUAACAUGCAAGCGUAGUGGGCCUUAUUUAUAAAUGAACCUUUAUCAGAGGUAUGUCUGUAUAGGAAAAAACAUGCUACAUGCAGGCUUUGGUGCUGUCAAAGGUAUGAGGAAUCUACUGGGGGUUUUGGAACAUACCCCCCUAGAAUAAGGGAGAGAACUGUAUUUAGAGGUGUAACUGAAAUGCAUUUUAAUAAUGGGCAUGCAAGACUCAGGCUCUAACCUUUGCAGUCUGAAGUUAAGAAUAACAAUUAUGUCCACAAACAAGUUAAAAAAUUAUUUCUACAUAUGUUACCUACAAACCUACAAGCCUACCAAUCUCUAAAUUUCUAAUUAUGGGUUAUAUAUGAUAAAAAUAACUUCAUGAUUACUCCUAAAACAGUAAUCAUUCUUAUGAACAGAAACAUUUUUUUUUUACUAUUGCAGUAGAAUGAGCAGAACGUAGAACUAGAAAGUUCUGGGUGCACAUUCUUGCACUCGCAUAUCAUUUUAGAUUCUCCGAGGCUCAGUCUUUACAGUAAUACGAGGACAAAUGCAUAGAUACAAUGGCAAUUCUAUAAAGUCCCUACUGCAGUCUCUGGCAUAUAAUAAUUGCUCAAAACAAAAAAGACAGAGAGAACAAAUUCUUUCCCACCCUUUGUCAGUGAUUAUAGCUGACGAAAUAGUAAUAUUUCUCCAACAACAGUCAUUACCAAAUUCUGAGGGCCAUGACCACGUCAUUCCAUGCAAACACACAUUAAACCCCAUAAGUGCUCUACAUUAUGUUAUUUCAGACAAAAAACUUGUUUAACCAUUGCCACUCCUCAUUUUAAAAAAGGACUCUAUAUAUCCUGAAAUCUCGCAUUUACUUUUAUUAAUUUUUAACUAUAGCAUUUCUUGUUGAGUUUUCUUUUCUCUUUGACUUUAGUUUCAGCCUCAUCAGUAUAUUAACAGCAGAUCUUUGCUUUUAUUUGUGUAUGAUGGUUGUAGACAGUACAUUCCACAAGAGCAUGACCAAUCUGUUGGACUCACCAGUAAAUCCCCAGUGUGUAUGACGGUGUGCUGCCCAUAGUAGGUACUCAGUUUUUCUUUUGAAAGAAAAAGUUUGAUUGAAAAACAGAUCAACCAAUUCCUUCUGGUGUCUUUUAAAUUAUAUGUCUGUUUGGUCUCUCUGUCUCUAAAUGGUAUAAGAGAUUAAACAGCCUGAAAAUCAAUAUUUUCUGGCACAGGAAAUAAAAAAAGCUAUCAUAAUUGAAACGUUUAUGAAAAUACCUUUUACUUAAAGAACUAUAGUUCUGUAAAGGUGCAUAAAUGAACAAGAACUGUGAAUUUGAAUCUUAGAGAACUAUGUGUAAUGGAUAUGCUUUUUUUACGUGAAGUGUGCUUUUAAUAUAUAGUCUCUCUUAUCAUCCGUCUAAGCCAGGUAAUUCCUCUUGUACUGUAAAAGUCUACAGCGUCAUAGUGUCUAUGAUCAUUGCACUUUGCCAUGGCAGCCUGCUUGACAUUUAUGAUAAGAAGGUGUUGAAGUAUUUGCUGUCAUUCAUUCAAUAACUAUUGAGUGACUACCAUUUAACAUUUUUUAUGCCUACCAUCAUACUCAACUUUUGCUCAACUGUUUUGAA